AACGCGAAGAACCUUACCAAGGCUUGACAUGCACGAGAAGCCACCAGAGAUGGUGGUCUCUUUGGACACUCGUGCACAGCUGGGGUGCAUGGUUGUCGUCAGCUCGUGUCGUGAGAUGUUGGGGUAAGUCCCCCAACGAGCGCAACCCUCGUCCCAUGUUGCCAGCGGGUUAUGCCGGGGCAUCAUGGGAGGCUGCCGGGGUCAAAUCGGAGGAAGGGGGGGAAGACGUCAAAUCAUCCUGCCCCUUAUGUCUUGGGCUUCACCCAUGCUUCAAUGGCCGGUACAAAAGGGUGCGAUACCGUAAGGGGGAGCGAAUCCCCAAAAACCGGUUCCAGUUCGGAUUGGCGUCUGCAACUCGACCCCCAUGAAGUCGGAGUCGGUAGUAAUUGCAGAUCAGCAACGCCUGCGGGGAAUACGUUCCCGGGCCUUGUACACACCG
rnacentral:rRNA from 1 species